UAACUCGAUUAUGAAGAAACCGAGUUGUAGCCAGGUUCUUGCCACGCUGGUGUUCCAGCUUGGCUUUUGGGCAAUAAAAUAUUCCCGCGUUACUGUUUGGAACUCGUCAAUGGGGAAAACGAGUUAUAUGCGGAAUAUGAACCAGUUUUUGAAUGUAACGUCUCUAAAACUGUUUGUCUUCCUUCCUCUGCAGUCUACAGUCUCUCUCCCUUCCUCAGUCCGAUCAGUAGCCACCGCCAGUCUGUUCAGUAGCCACCGUCAAUAGCCACCGUCAGAUUCUCCUAUUUCUACCCGCACCCAAACCAAACCGUUCAGUAGACCUUUUCCGAAGUUAAAUCGAAACCCAUACCCAUACCCACACUUUUUCAAUCUCAGCACGGCCGAAGCUCAACCCAAUCUGUCUUCGGAGUUAAAGGAUUGCAAACGUAUUAAGAUAUGCAGCAAGUGGGAAAUGUGGAUCCUGGACCGACGGUUGGUACACAGUUGACGCGGCAGCCGGUUCAUCGAUCCACGCUACUUUGGGAGACGCCAGCCGGUCAGUGCCAGGCGUGUUAAACUGCAGACGCCGAAGUUGCAAGUUACCCGAGCAUGGGCUUGACCCACGGAUUGCUCGGUACAUAAAUGAGGCGGGUUUUGAAGGGUUAUUCAAGGUUCCAAACAUGGAAGUGGAUCAUGCGUUGAUCACAGCUCUAGUUGAGCGUUGGCGUCCGGAGACGCACACAUUCCACCUACCGCAUGGAGAGAUGAGCAUCACCUUACAAGAUAUUGAGGUGAUGCUAGGGGUUCCUGUUGAUGGGUUGCCAAUUACUGGGGCUGUGAAGA